rnacentral:rRNA from 1 species
UACGUAGGGUGCGAGCGUUGUCCGGAAUUAUUGGGCGUAAAGAGCUUGUAGGCGGUCUGUCGCGUCUGCUGUGAAAAUCCGGGGCUCAACCCCGGACUUGCAGUGGGUACGGGCAGACUAGAGUGUGGUAGGGGAGACGUGGAAUUCCUGGUGUAGCGGUGAAAUGCGCAGAUAUCAGGAGGAACACCGAUGGCGAAGGCAGGUCGUCUGGGCCACUACUGACGCUGAGAAGCGAAAGCAUGGGGAGCGAACAGG